UGGGGAAUAUUGGACAAUGGGCGAAAGCCUGAUCCAGCCAUGCCGCGUGUGUGAAGAAGGUCUUCGGAUUGUAAAGCACUUUAAGUUGGGAGGAAGGGCAGUAAGUUAAUACCUUGCUGUUUUGACGUUACCGACAGAAUAAGC
rnacentral:rRNA from 1 species